GGUUCCAUGGUGUAAUGGUCAUCACAUCUGUCUAACACAGAGAAGGUUCUGGGUUCAAUCCCCAGUGGAACCA
rnacentral:tRNA from 1 species